GACAGAGGGGGCAAGCGUUGCUCGGAAUUACUGGGCGUAAAGGGCGCGUAGGCGGGAUGGCAAGUCGGUCGUGAAAUCCCUCGGCUCAACCGAGGAACGUCGAUCGAUACUGCUGUUCUUGAGGAUUGCAGAGGAGACUGGAAUUCCCGGUGUAGCGGUGAAAUGCGCAGAUAUCAGGAAGAACACCUAUGGCGAAGGCAGCACUCUGGGACGGUACUGACGCUGAGGCGCGAAAGCGUGGGGAGCGAACAGG
rnacentral:rRNA from 1 species